UUAAGCGACUAAGCGUACACGGUGGAUGCCCUGGCAGUCAGAGGCGAUGAAGGACGUGCUAAUCUGCGAAAAGCGUCGGUAAGGUGAUAUGAACCGUUACAGCCGGCGAUGUCCGAAUGGGGAAACCCAGUGCAAUUCGUUGCACUAUCGUUAACUGAAUACAUAGGUUAACGAGGCGAACCGGGGGAACUGAAACAUCUAAGUACCCCGAGGAAAAGAAAUCAACCGAGAUUCCCCCAGUAGCGGCGAGCGAACGGGAGCAGCCCAGAGUCUGAAUCAGCUUGUGUGUUAGUGGAACGGUCUGGAAAGUCCGACGGUACAGGGUGAUAGUCCCGUACACCAAAAUGCACAGGUUGUGAACUCGAAGAGUAGGGCGGGACACGUGGUAUCCUGUCUGAAUAUGGGGGGACCAUCCUCCAAGGCUAAAUACUCCUGACUGACCGAUAGUGAAUCAGUACCGUGAGGGAAAGGCGAAAAGAACCCCGGCGAGGGAGUGAAAAGAACCUGAAACCGUGUACGUACAAGCAGUGGGAGCACCUUCGGGUGUGACUGCGUACCUUUGUAUAAUGGGUCAGCGACUUAUAUUCUGUAGCAAGGUUAACCGUAUAGGGGAGCCGCAGGAAACCGAGUCUUAACUGGGCGUUAAGUUGCAGGGUAUAGACCCGAAACCCGGUGAUUCAGCCAUGGGCAGGUUGAAGGUUGGGUAACACUAACUGGAGGACCGAACCGACUAAUGUUGAAAAAUUAGCGGAUGACUUGUGGCUGGGGGUGAAAGGCCAAUCAAACCGGGAGAUAGCUGGUUCUCCCCGAAAGCUAUUUAGGUAGCGCCUCGUGAACUCAUCUUCGGGGGUAGAGCACUGUUUCGGCUAGGGGGUCAUCCCGACUUACCAACCCGAUGCAAACUACGAAUACCGAAGAAUGUUAUCACGGGAGACACACGGCGGGUGCUAACGUCCGUCGUGAAGAGGGAAACAACCCAGACCGCCAGCUAAGGUCCCAAAGUCAUGGUUAAGUGGGAAACGAUGUGGGAAGGCACAGACAGCCAGGAUGUUGGCUUAGAAGCAGCCAUCAUUUAAAGAAAGCGUAAUAGCUCACUGGUCGAGUCGGCCUGCGCGGAAGAUGUAACGGGGCUAAACCAUGCACCGAAGCUGCGGCAGCGACACUAUGUGUUGUUGGGUAGGGGAGCGUUCUGUAAGCCUGCGAAGGUGACCUGUGAGGGUUGCUGGAGGUAUCAGAAGUGCGAAUGCUGACAUAAGUAACGAUAAAGCGGGUGAAAAGCCCGCUCGCCGGAAGACCAAGGGUUCCUGUCCAACGUUAAUCGGGGCAGGGUGAGUCGACCCCUAAGGCGAGGCCGAAAGGCGUAGUCGAUGGGAAACAGGUUAAUAUUCCUGUACUUGGUGUUACUGCGAAGGGGGGACGGAGAAGGCUAUGUUAGCCGGGCGACGGUUGUCCCGGUUUAAGCAUGUAGGCUGGUUAUCCAGGCAAAUCCGGAUAAUCAAGGCUGAGGUGUGAUGACGAGGCACUACGGUGCUGAAGUAACAAAUGCCCUGCUUCCAGGAAAAGCCUCUAAGCAUCAGGUAACAUCAAAUCGUACCCCAAACCGACACAGGUGGUCAGGUAGAGAAUACCAAGGCGCUUGAGAGAACUCGGGUGAAGGAACUAGGCAAAAUGGUGCCGUAACUUCGGGAGAAGGCACGCUGGUGUGUAGGUGAAGUCCCUGCGGAUGGAGCUGAGACCAGUCGAAGAUACCAGCUGGCUGCAACUGUUUAUUAAAAACACAGCACUGUGCAAACACGAAAGUGGACGUAUACGGUGUGACGCCUGCCCGGUGCCGGAAGGUUAAUUGAUGGGGUUAUCCGUAAGGAGAAGCUCUUGAUCGAAGCCCCGGUAAACGGCGGCCGUAACUAUAACGGUCCUAAGGUAGCGAAAUUCCUUGUCGGGUAAGUUCCGACCUGCACGAAUGGCGUAAUGAUGGCUGUCUCCACCCGAGACUCAGUGAAAUUGAACUCGCUGUGAAGAUGCAGUGUACCCGCGGCAAGACGGAAAGACCCCGUGAACCUUUACUAUAGCUUGACACUGAACAUUGAGCCUUGAUGUGUAGGAUAGGUGGGAGGCUUUGAAGCGUGGACGCCAGUCUGCGUGGAGCCAACCUUGAAAUACCACCCUUUAAUGUUUGAUGUUCUAACGUUGGCCCCUUACCGGGGUUGCGGACAGUGUCUGGUGGGUAGUUUGACUGGGGCGGUCUCCUCCCAAAGCGUAACGGAGGAGCACGAAGGUUAGCUAAUCCUGGUCGGACAUCAGGAGGUUAGUGCAAUGGCAUAAGCUAGCUUGACUGCGAGCGUGACGGCGCGAGCAGGUGCGAAAGCAGGUCAUAGUGAUCCGGUGGUUCUGAAUGGAAGGGCCAUCGCUCAACGGAUAAAAGGUACUCCGGGGAUAACAGGCUGAUACCGCCCAAGAGUUCAUAUCGACGGCGGUGUUUGGCACCUCGAUGUCGGCUCAUCACAUCCUGGGGCUGAAGUAGGUCCCAAGGGUAUGGCUGUUCGCCAUUUAAAGUGGUACGCGAGCUGGGUUUAGAACGUCGUGAGACAGUUCGGUCCCUAUCUGCCGUGGGCGCUGGAGAAUUGAGGGGGCUGCUCCUAGUACGAGAGGACCGGAGUGGACGCAUCACUGGUGUUCGGGUUGUCAUGCCAAUGGCACUGCCCGGUAGCUAAAUGCGGAAGAGAUAAGUGCUGAAAGCAUCUAAGCACGAAACUUGCCCCGAGAUGAGUUCUCCCUGAGACUUUAAGUCUCCUGAAGGAACGUUAAAGACGAUGACGUUGAUAGGCCGGGUGUGUAAGCGCAGCGAUGCGUUGAGCUAACCGGUACUAAUGAACCGUGAGGCUUAACCU
rnacentral:rRNA from 1 species